UACGUAGGGUGCAGGCGUUAAUCGGAAUUACUGGGCGUAAAGCGUGCGCAGGCGGUUUGCUAAGACAGGUGUGAAAUCCCCGGGCUUAACCUGGGAACUGCACUUGUGACUGCACAGCUGGAGUGCGCAGAGGGGGAUGGAAUCCGCGUGUAGCAGUGAAAUGCGUAGAUAAUGCGGAGGAACACCGAUGGCGAAGGCAACUCCCUGGCC
rnacentral:rRNA from 1 species